rnacentral:rRNA from 1 species
CACGUAGGGUGCGAGCGUUGUCCGGAAUUAUUGGGCGUAAAGAGCUCGUAGGCGGUGUGUCGCGUCGGCCGUGAAAACCUGCAGCUUAACUGUGGGCUUGCGGUCGAUACGGGCAUCACUGGAGUUCGGCAGGGGAGACUGGAAUUCCUGGUGUAGCGGUGAAAUGCGCAGAUAUCAGGAGGAACACCGGUGGCGAAGGCGGGUCUCUGGGCCGAUACUGACGCUGGAGGUGCGAAAGCCGUGGGGAGCAAACAGG